AAGAAAAGAAAUUAAAAUUCUGAAGUUUGCAUACCUAACUGUUCACUUACGGUAUCUCACAGUCUAAUUAAUUCAUAGCCACAUGCAUAGAGUUUAUUGCAUUUGCAACUAUGCAGCAUCAAAUUGUUGCAAAGGGACCUCUGGAAAGGACUGUCCUUCCUCCCAAUGUGUAUGUGUGUAUGUACAUGUAAUACAUGUACAUAUAAUGAAGAUUACAUACAUGUAUAAUUGUAUUAUAUACAUAUAUAAUUGUAUACGUAUAUAAUACAUUUAUAUAAUCUUCAAUUAUAUGUAUAUGUAUUAUAUAUACAUACAUACACAUUGGGAAGGAUAUAUAUAUAAUUGAAGAUACAGAAUUGAAGAUGAGUAUAUUUAAUAUUUAUCAAAGGGUAAAGGCGCUCAUCCGCAGUUUGGAUCAGAGCCUCAAAAUCUAAAUUCAUGCCACGAAUAGCGUUUUUCAGAUGUUGACUUCCUAGGAUCCUAUUCUUUUAAACCUGAUUCAAUUUUUGUGCCUAUCAAGACAGACACCAAAGAUUUUAUUUAGGAGGAAAUAUGUGGUAUUCUUUUUAAACUUUUCCAGAGACAUCACUUAUGUGAUCUUACUUGGUUUCUACAACAUUCCCAGCCCCAGGAGGCAGGCAGAGUGAUAUUGCCAAUCACAUUUUUGUAGACACAGGCUCAGAGAAGUGACAUUACCUGCUAGAUGUCACACAGCCCAUCUGGGACCCCAGGGCUCAAGCCCCUGCCCUCUGGCCCUGAGUCCUGCCUCUGUCUGUGGACUCCCAGCUCUUGCUGUUGCUAGAGUGUGCUGCUCCUUUACUUGGCAUGUCCACAUUCCUGGGUUGUCCAGGAACGCACAUUCUUGGAGAGGAAGGGGAAUAGAUAUUUUAGCCACAUACAACACUCUGAGCUUGCCAGGCACCUAAUAGGGACACUCAAUAAAUAUUAAUUAAAGAAUGCAGCCACAUUGGCUUAUGUGCUGGCCAGAUCCUUUAAAGUGUCAAGAAUAUUCCUUGAGAGACUGAGUGUUAGGCUGGAAGGCUGUGUGGAGGCGGAGAGGACAGAAAAGUCCUGGAGUAAUGGAGUGCAUUCUCUUGGAAGAUGAAAAUAUCCACCCGCCCCAGGGGGCCCCUAUCUGUCACUGUCACCAGGAGAGAAGGAGGAAGGGAACAUAUGUCUGUUGAGUGCCUCUGGGACCUGUAUUUUUCUUGCUGGGGUGGGAUUUAUUCCGCUUCUCCCGUACUCCUGCAUCUCCAAGGCCAGUGGAGGACACCAGGGGACAGCUGGCUGAGAUCAAGGGUGAGUGCGAUUGGUGGGGUGUGGAGUGGGGUGGGCGGGAGAUGGAAUGGGUGUGCCCACCCUCUCCUAGCGUCAUGAGGGAUUUACUGCUCAUUGAGUAGGUGUUCCUUAGUGUCUCUGGCUUGACAGCAGAAGUCUACUUGGAUAGGCAGUUCUGGGCACGCACAGCCAACUGUCGGGGCCUCUCCCCUAGUCUGAGUGUUCAUGCUCACAGAGCUGGUGUCCCCUGGAAUCCAGGGACUCGGAAGAGGGGAAAACUAAGCUGGAAGUGGAGAGUGAGGCAGAGGCCUGGGUAGGGAACCCUUGGGGAGCUCCCCCCAGCCUGAGGGCUGCUACCCAGUAGACCAAUGUGCCAGGAGGAGGAAGGAUGUGGGGGCAAAUGGGGAUCUCCCAUUCCACCCAGAGCCUGUGACUACCCUCUCUUUGCACUGGGAGGUAUUGCAUGCAGAAAGCAUAAGCAAGGCAAGUGAGGCUCCUCUGGGAAAGCCAGAACCUAGACAUUGAUCAGGCUCCUGGGGCUUUUUCAAAUGAGCUCAUCCCUGCUUUCCUAGGCCUCUUUUGGCAUUGAAUGGUAUUUCCCUUUGGUUCUUUCAAAAGCAAGAUGUGUUUGUGUAAUUUUAAACAAGUGAUCAAUUUCAGAUUAACGUCAAGGAAUUUCUUCAUCGUCUCCAUCAUCAAAUUCUACUUAACAUGCUCUGCCCAUUCCAAGAAAAAAAGAGGAAUGAAUGUGAACUCUUUUUGUACAUACAGCCAUUUACUCAAAAAAUGCAGCCGGCAGAGAUUCCACAGCUGGGAAGCUGACUGGUUGCAGUAGAGAAGCUGGCCAAAAUCCACCAAGAUGGCGACAAGAGUGACCUCUGGUCAUCCUCACUGUUACACUCCCACCAGCGCCAUGACAGUUUGCAGAUUCCAGGAUGGGCAUGUUUCCUCGCUGACUCUGGCCAGGCUCAUGACGAAGCAGCCUCCACCCUUGCUGUCUGGGAUGAGACAUUGGCCUCUGUUGUUA
rnacentral:tRNA from 10 species